GCCUAAUAAGCUUAGUUGGUAGUGCGUCUGCCUUGUAAGCGCUAGGCCGCGGGUUCGAUUCCCGCCCGGGGCG
rnacentral:tRNA from 1 species